GCUUUCUCGAGCGAGUGGCGAACGGGUGAGUAACGCGUGAGGAACCUGCCUCAAAGAGGGGGACAACAGUUGGAAACGACUGCUAAUACCGCAUAAGCCCACGACCCGGCAUCGGGUAGAGGGAAAAGGAGCAAUCCGCUUUGAGAUGGCCUCGCGUCCGAUUAGCUAGUUGGUGAGGUAACGGCCCACCAAGGCGACGAUCGGUAGCCGGACUGAGAGGUUGAACGGCCACAUUGGGACUGAGACACGGCCCAGACUCCUACGGGAGGCAGCAGUGGGGAAUAUUGCACAAUGGGGGAAACCCUGAUGCAGCGACGCCGCGUGGAGGAAGAAGGUCUUCGGAUUGUAAACUCCUGUUGUUGAGGAAGAUAAUGACGGUGCUCAACAAGGAAGUGACGGCUAACUACGUGCCAGCAGCCGCGGUAAAACGUAGGUCACAAGCGUUGUCCGGAAUUACUGGGUGUAAAGGGAGCGCAGGCGGGAAGACAAGUUGGAAGUGAAAUCCAUGGGCUCAACCCAUGAACUGCUUUCAAAACUGUUUUUCUUGAGUAGUGCAGAGGUAGGCGGAAUUCCCGGUGUAGCGGUGGAAUGCGUAGAUAUCGGGAGGAACACCAGUGGCGAAGGCGGCCUACUGGGCACCAACUGACGCUGAGGCUCGAAAGUGUGGGUAGCAAACAGGAUUAGAUACCCUGGUAGUCCACACCG
rnacentral:rRNA from 1 species